AUUGAACGCUGGCGGCAUGCCUUACACAUGCAAGUCGAACGGUAACAGGUCUUCGGACGCUGACGAGUGGCGAACGGGUGAGUAAUACAUCGGAACGUGCCCAGUCGUGGGGGAUAACUACUCGAAAGAGUAGCUAAUACCGCAUACGAUCUGAGGAUGAAAGCGGGGGACCUUCGGGCCUCGCGCGAUUGGAGCGGCCGAUGGCAGAUUAGGUAGGUGGUGGGAUAAAAGCUUACCAAGCCGACGAUCUGUAGCUGGUCUGAGAGGACGACCAGCCACACUGGGACUGAGACACGGCCCAGACUCCUGCGGGAGGCAGCAGUGGGGAAUUUUGGAUAAUGGGCGAAAGCCUGAUCCAGCAAUGCCGCGUGCAGGAUGAAGGCCUUCGGGUCGUAAACUGCUUUUGUACGGAACGAAAAAGUCUCCUCUAAUACAGGAGGCCCAUGACGGUACCGUAAGAAUAAGCACCGGCUAACUACGUGCCAGCCGCCGCCGUAAGAC
rnacentral:rRNA from 1 species